UACGAGGGAUCCUAGCGUUGUUCGGAAUCAUUGGGCGUAAAGGGUGCGUAGGUGGCCAUACAAGUCAGUUGUGAAAGCCCCGGGCUCAACCCGGGAAGUGCUUCUGAGACUGUUUGGCUUGAGUACUAGAGAGGUGAGUAGAAUUCCAGGUGUAGUGGUGAAAUACGUAGAUAUCUGGAGGAAUACCGGUGGCGAAGGCGGCUCACUGGCUAAGUACUGACACUGAAGCACGAAAGCAUGGGGAUCAAACAGG
rnacentral:rRNA from 1 species